rnacentral:rRNA from 1 species
ACGGGUGAGUAACACGUGGGAACGUACCCUUCGGUUCGGAAUAACUCAGGGAAACUUGAGCUAAUACCGGAUACGCCCUUUUGGGGAAAGGUUUACUGCCGAAGGAUCGGCCCGCGUCUGAUUAGCUUGUUGGUGGGGUAACGGCCUACCAAGGCGACGAUCAGUAGCUGGUCUGAGAGGAUGAUCAGCCACACUGGGACUGAGACACGGCCCAGACUCCUACGGGAGGCAGCAGUGGGGAAUAUUGGACAAUGGGCGCAAGCCUGAUCCAGCCAUGCCGCGUGAGUGAUGAAGGCCUUAGGGUUGUAAAGCUCUUUUGUCCGGGACGAUAAUGACGGUACCGGAAGAAUAAGCCCCGGCUAACUUCGUGCCAGCAGCCGCGGUAAUACGAAGGGGGCUAGCGUUGCUCGGAAUCACUGGGCGUAAAGGGCGCGUAGGCGGCCGAUUAAGUCGGGGGUGAAAGCCUGUGGCUCAACCACAGAAUUGCCUUCGAUACUGGUUGGCUUGAGACCGGAAGAGGACAGCGGAACUGCGAGUGUAGAGGUGAAAUUCGUAGA